rnacentral:rRNA from 1 species
GUGGGGAAUAUUGGACAAUGGGGGGAACCCUGAUCCAGCCAUGCCGCGUGUGUGAAGAAGGCCUUUUGGUUGUAAAGCACUUUAAGCGAGGAGGAGGCUACCGAGAUUAAUACUCUUGGAUAGUGGACGUUACUCGCAGAAUAAGCACCGGCUAACUCUGUGCCAGCAGCCGCGGUAAUACAGAGGGUGCGAGCGUUAAUCGGAUUUACUGGGCGUAAAGCGUGCGUAGGCGGCUUUUUAAGUCGGAUGUGAAAUCCCCGAGCUUAACUUGGGAAUUGCAUUCGAUACUGGGAAGCUAGAGUAUGGGAGAGGAUGGUAGAAUUCCAGGUGUAGCGGUGAAAUGCGUAGAGAUCUGGAGGAAUACCGAUGGCGAAGGCAGCCAUCUGGCCUAAUACUGACGCUCAUGCACGAAAGCGUGGGGAGCAAACAGGAUUAGAUACCCGGGUAGUCC